AGAGUUUGAUCCUGGCUCAGAUUGAACGCUGGCGGCAUGCUUUACACAUGCAAGUCGAACGGCAGCACGGGCUUCGGCCUGGUGGCGAGUGGCGAACGGGUGAGUAAUAUAUCGGAACGUACCCAAGAGUGGGGGAUAACGUAGCGAAAGUUACGCUAAUACCGCAUACGAUCUAUGGAUGAAAGUGGGGGAUCGCAAGACCUCAUGCUCCUGGAGCGGCCGAUAUCUGAUUAGCUAGUUGGUGAGGUAAAGGCUCACCAAGGCGACGAUCAGUAGCUGGUCUGAGAGGACGACCAGCCACACUGGAACUGAGACACGGUCCAGACUCCUACGGGAGGCAGCAGUGGGGAAUUUUGGACAAUGGGCGCAAGCCUGAUCCAGCAAUGCCGCGUGAGUGAAGAAGGCCUUCGGGUUGUAAAGCUCUUUUGUCAGGGAAGAAACGGUAGGAGCUAAUAUCUCUUGCUAAUGACGGUACCUGAAGAAUAAGCACCGGCUAACUACGUGCCAGCAGCCGCGGUAAUACGUAGGGUGCAAGCGUUAAUCGGAAUUACUGGGCGUAAAGCGUGCGCAGGCGGUUUUGUAAGUCUGACGUGAAAGCCCCGGGCUCAACCUGGGAAUUGCGUUGGAGACUGCAAGGCUUGAAUCUGGCAGAGGGGGGUAGAAUUCCACGUGUAGCAGUGAAAUGCGUAGAGAUGUGGAGGAACACCGAUGGCGAAGGCAGCCCCCUGGGUCAAGAUUGACGCUCAUGCACGAAAGCGUGGGGAGCAAACAGGAUUAGAUACCCUGGUAGUCC
rnacentral:rRNA from 1 species